rnacentral:rRNA from 1 species
AUACGGAGGGGACAAGCGUUAUUCGGAAUCACUGGGCGUAAAGGACGCGUAGGCGGGUUAUUAAGUCGGGUGUGAAAUCCAAUGGCUCAACCAUUGAACUGCAUUCGAAACUGAUAACCUAGAGUAUGGAAGGGGCAGGUGGAAUUAGUGGUGUAGGGGUAAAAUCCGUAGAUAUCACUAGGAAUACCGAAAGCGAAGGCGAUCUGCUGGGACAUUACUGACGCUGAGGCGUGAAAGCGUGGGUAGCGAACAGGAUUAGAAACCCCAGUAGUCC